rnacentral:rRNA from 1 species
UACAGAGGGUGCAAGCGUUAAUCGGAAUUACUGGGCGUAAAGGGCGCGUAGGUGGUUAUGUAAGUGAGUUGUGAAAUCCCUGGGCUUAACCUAGGAAUGUCGACUGAGACUGCAUGACUGGAGUACGGUAGAGGGUAGUGGAAUUUCCGGUGUAGCGGUGAAAUGCGUAGAUAUCGGAAGGAACAUCGGUGGCGAAGGCGGCUACCUGGACUGAUACUGACACUGAGGCGCGAGAGCGUGGGUAGCAAACAGG